GCCAGCGGCCAUAGCACGUCUAAUGCACCAAUUCCCGGUGGAUCACUGAAGUUGAGCAACGUUGCGCACGGUUGGUACCCGGACAAGUGACCACCUGGACAAUCGGGGUGCUGGUUGUU
rnacentral:rRNA from 1 species